AUUAUAGUCAUCACCUUCGGCGCCACAUGGUCCCCUGGACCUACUCCAAGGCUGCUGAGAAGCUCGCAAAGAGGGUCUGAGAGCAAACAGCAGAAAGAGAAGCACCUGUGCUUACUGGACCUCCGAGCGAAAGAAACUUGGGCAGAUGGGCUCGCUGUGGCCACAAACCAUCCCCACGAUUUCCCGCCUCCACACCAGGGCGGUACCAUUUUCUUGUCCUGGAAGGCGUGGACCCCAGCUACAAGCCGUGCUUGCGCCGCCAGCCAUCGGGGACAUCCAACAGGAGUCUGCCACCUGAGCUCCAAGACCAAAAGCACAGGUUGGGUUGUGGAUGCAGUUGGUUAAUUAUGCUAUUGGUUUCUACCCAGAGGGGCAAUAUAUACAUAUAUGCUGUUUUACACAGAAACAGUUUAAAGAAAAAAGAAUCGUCCAUUACCCUACAUAAUUACUAUUUAUUUAAAAUCAAUCUUAAUUAAUAUAUGCCUCUAGACUUAUAAUUUGUUUGCUCUGCAAAUACAUGUAUUUUACAAACGUAAGAUCAUAUACAUUAAACAUCUUUUAAUGUGUAAAAGGGAUGCUUCUGUGGCUAGUGAGCUUUGAGAAAGCAGGAACUCCUACUCACCCCUUCAAAGGCCAGCCCAUGUCACUCUUCCCCGCAGGACUCUGACUGGCCCAGGCAAUGGUAACUGCUUAUCUCCGUGUUCAUGACACCUUGACCAUACUUUCAUAUCAAUACUUAUUAUCUUGUGUUUGGCUAUUGGUUUAUGCAUCUGAAUUCCCCAUUUGAUUGGAAGUCUUUGAGGCUGAGGGCCCUUCUGAUAGAUUUUUUGUGUUCCUAACUGUUAAAAAGAAAUGAUCCUGACAGUUGUUAAAAUGGUAAGGAAAACUCGAUUCAAGAGUA